UACGUAGGGGGCAAGCGUUGUCCGGAAUCAUUGGGCGUAAAGCGCGUGUAGGCGGCUGAGUAAGUCUGCUCUGAAAGCCCGGGGCUCAACCCCGGGAGGCGGGUGGAUACUGCUCAGCUCGAGUCCGGAAGAGGAGUGUGGAAUUCCUGGUGUAGCGGUGAAAUGCGCAGAUAUCGGGAGGAACACCAAUGGCGAAGGCAGCUCGCUGGGACGUUACUGACGCUGAGACGCGAAAGCGUGGGGAGCAAACAGG
rnacentral:rRNA from 1 species